rnacentral:rRNA from 1 species
CUCUUCUUGUUGUAAAUAUGAAGUAUAAUCUGCCCACUGAUGCAUAUUUGAAGGGCCGCGGUAUUUUGACCGUGCAAAGGUAGCAUAAUAAUUAGUCUUUUAAUUGUGGACUGGAAUGAAUGAUUGGACGAGGGAUACACUGUUUCUUAUUAUAUUAUUGAAUUUAUUAUUUAAGUUAAAAACCUUAAAUAUUUUUAUGGGACGAGAAGACCCUAUAGAGUUUAUACUUAUUAUUUAUUUUGUUUGUUUGAUAAUUUAUUUAUUAUUUAAUAAGUUUUGUUGGGGUGAUAGAAAGAAUUAAUUAACUCUUUUUUAAUUAAUACAUUUAUUUAUGUUAAGUUGAUCCAUUUUAUGUUGAUUAUAAGAUUAAAUUACCUUAGGGAUAACAGCGUAAUCUUUUUUGAGAGUUCUUAUCGAUAAAUGGGUUUGCGACCUCGAUGUUGGAUUAAGAUUUAAUUUGGGUGUAGAAUUUCAUAAGUUUAGGUCUGUUCGACCUUUAAAAUCUUACA